rnacentral:rRNA from 1 species
AGUGAACGCUGGCGGCGUGCUUAAUACAUGCAAGUCGAAGGAAGUGGCGCACGGGUGAGUAAUAUAUCGCUAAUCUGCCCCUUGCUGGAGGACAACAGUUAGAAAUGACUGCUAAUACUCUAUAGCAAGGGAUAAGACUAUAUCGUAUCAGCUAGUCGGUGGGAUAACGGCCUACCAAGGCUAUGAUGCGUAACUGGUCUGAGAGAAUGAUCAGUCACAUUGGAACUGAGACACGGUCAAAACUCCUACGGGAGGCAGCAGAAGGGAAUAUUGCGCAAUGGGGGAAACACUGACGCAGCAACGCCGCGUGGAGGAUGACAAUUUUCAGAGAGUAAACUCCUUUUGUUAGGGAAGCGGUACCUAACGAAUAAGCACCGGCUGACUCCGUGCCAGCGACCGCGGUAAUUC